UACGUAGGGUGCAAGCGUUGUCCGGAAUUAUUGGGCGUAAAGAGCUCGUAGGCGGUUUGUCGCGUCGAAUGUGAAAACCCGGGGCUCAACCCCGGGCCUGCAUUCGAUACGGGCAGACUAGAGUUCGGUAGGGGAGUCUGGAAUUCCUGGUGUAGCGGUGAAAUGCGCAGAUAUCAGGAGGAACCCCGGUGGCGAAGGCGGGACUCUGGGCCGAUACUGACGCUGAGGAGCGAAAGCGUGGGGAGCGAACAGG
rnacentral:rRNA from 1 species